rnacentral:rRNA from 1 species
ACUCAAAUGAAUAGACGGGGGCCCGCACAAGCAGUGGAGCAUGUGGUUCAAUUCGACGCAACGCGAAGAACCUUACCUAGGCUUGAAAUGCAAACUAAUCCUGAUGAAAGUCGGGGUUCCGCAAGGAGAGUUUGUACAGGUGCUGCAUGGCUGUCGUCAGCUCGUGCCGUGAGGUGUUGGGUUAAGUCCCGCAACGAGCGCAACCCUCGUUCUUAGUUGCCAUCUGGUAAUGCAGGGCACUCUAAGAAGACUGCCUACGCAAGUAGUGAGGAAGGUGGGGAUGACGUCAAGUCCGCAUGGCCCUUACGCCUAGGGCCACACACGUGCUACAAUGGCCAUUACAAAGGGCUGCAAUACCGCGAGGUGGAGCUAAUCCCUAAAAAAUGGUCUCAGUUCGGAUUGGAGUCUGCAACUCGACUCCAUGAAGCUGGAAUUGCUAGUAAUCGCGCAUCAGCACGGCGCGGUGAAUACGUUCCCGGGCCUUGUACACACCGCCCGU